AAAAUUUAUUUUAAGUUUAUUUUACAUAUAAAUUUUAGUAUGAAAUUUUAAUUAUUUAAAUAAUAAUUAAUAAGAUAAUUAUAGUAAUUAAAAUUAAAAAUUUAAGAAAUUAAGAUUUAGUAAUAUAAAAAUUAAUGACUAAUUUUGUGCCAGCAGUUGCGGUUAUACAAAAAUUAAAUUAAAUUAUUUCAGUUUAUAAUAAAUAAAAUUUUAAAUAAAUUAAAUAUUAAAUUAUUAGGUGAAAUUUUAAUUUAAUUAAAUUUUAUAUUAAAAAUUUUAUGAUUUAAUAAAUUUUUUAAUAAACUAGGAUUAGAUACCCUAUUAUUAAAAAUUUGAUUAUAAAUACUAAAAUAGUAAAUAAUAAAUAUUGAAACUUAAAUAAUAUGGCGGUAUUUUAGUUCAUUUAGAGGAAUCUGUCUAAUAAUUGAUAAUCCACGAAUAAAUUUACUUAAUUUAAAAUUUUAUAUAUCGUUGUUAAAAAAAUAUUUUUUAGUAAAAAUAAUAUUUUAAAAUUAAAAUAAAAAAUUAAUUCAGAUCAAGAUGUAGAAUAUAAUUAAGAAUAUGAUGGAUUACAAUAAAAUAAUUUAUAAUGAAUAAUUUAAUUUUAAUAUUAAUUUGAAGGUGGAUUUAAAUGUAAUUUUAAUUAAUUUAUUAAAAUGAUUAAAAAUUAAAAUAUGUACAUAUUGCCCGUCACUUUCAUUUAAAAAUUGAAAUAAGUCGUAACAAAGUAGAGGUACUGGAAAGUGUUUCUAGAAAGAA
rnacentral:ncRNA from 1 species